GGCCAACUUAUAAAUUGACCUAAUCAUCAUUCAACAUUCCCAUAUAAAAAUUACAGGAUAUUAUCCAUAUACAUAAAAAAUAAUAUUUUCUCUUUUAUAUCACAUUGUGAGAAUAAAUAUUUUUUAUUAUAUAAUAAAUAAAUAAUACACCUAAUAAUUCCUCAACAAUUCUUUCCAAUAAAAUGAAGAUGAGUUUGGUCUUCUUUUUUU
rnacentral:misc_RNA from 1 species